rnacentral:lncRNA from 1 species
CAAGCAAGUUUUACAACUCAUUUGCAUUCAUGUGAUACAAGAAGUAGUCUAUGAUUUCUCUGUACAAGUCUUCGCAUGUUACAUUGACCUAAACCUAUCACUGGCAACGCUCCCGGAGUGUAAUAGAAUACUCCCUGCAGCCCAGCUCCUGUAUAAAGAUGGAUCCUUCAAUUCCUCCUGCAAUGGUCUCGUGCUGCCUCGGGUAAGUCAUCUGCAAACAUAAGCAUAUAUGCUCCGCAGUCGACACUAUCAUUUCGUUGUUGUGCACAUGUCGAAUUUCAGAAUAUGUUAAUUGAGGGAUACGAAAUCCGACAUAGUCAUUUAGCCAUGAUCUCACAAAAGAUGCCUGCAAUAAUGUGAAGAAUGCAAAAUUUUAAGAACAUACCUAUGAUAAAGAAGGAAAUUAGUAAUAUCAAAUUUCACAAGUGAUACGAACAUAUCUAACAGCCUCCACCCCAACAUCGAAACUCCACAAGGAGUUGUAGCA